rnacentral:rRNA from 1 species
GGUGCUGAAGCAACAAAUGCCCUGCUUCCAGGAAAAGCCUCUAAGCAUCAGGUAACAUCAAAUCGUACCCCAAACCGACACAGGUGGUCAGGUAGAGAAUACCAAGGCGCUUGAGAGAACUCGGGUGAAGGAACUAGGCAAAAUGGUGCCGUAACUUCGGGAGAAGGCACGCUGAUAUGUAGGUGAAGUCCCUCGCGGAUGGAGCUGAAAUCAGUCGAAGAUACCAGCUGGCUGCAACUGUUUAUUAAAAACACAGCACUGUGCAAACACGAAAGUGGACGUAUACGGUGUGACGCCUGCCCGGUGCCGGAAGGUUAAUUGAUGGGGUUAGCGCAAGCGAAGCUCUUGAUCGAAGCCCCGGUAAACGGCGGCCGUAACUAUAACGGUCCUAAGGUAGCGAAAUUCCUUGUCGGGUAAGUUCCGACCUGCACGAAUGGCGUAAUGAUGGCUAGGCUGUCUCCACCCGAGACUCAGUGAAAUUGAACUCGCUGUGAAGAUGCAGUGUACCCGCGGCAAGACGGAAAGACCCCGUGAACCUUUACUAUAGCUUGACACUGAACAUUGAGCCUUGAUGUGUAGGAUAGGUGGGAGGCUUUGAAGUGUGGACGCCAGUCUGCAUGGAGCCGACCUUGAAAUACCACCCUUUAAUGUUUGAUGUUCUAACGUUGACCCGUAAUCCGGGUUGCGGACAGUGUCUGGUGGGUAGUUUGACUGGGGCGGUCUCCUCCUAAAGAGUAACGGAGGAGCACGAAGGUUGGCUAAUCCUGGUCGGACAUCAGGAGGUUAGUGCAAUGGCAUAAGCCAGCUUGACUGCGAGCGUGACGGCGCGAGCAGGUGCGAAAGCAGGUCAUAGUGAUCCGGUGGUUCUGAAUGGAAGGGCCAUCGCUCAACGGAUAAAAGGUACUCCGGGGAUAACAGGCUGAUACCGCCCAAGAGUUCAUAUCGACGGCGGUGUUUGGCACCUCGAUGUCGGCUCAUCACAUCCUGGGGCUGAAGUAGGUCCCAAGGGUAUGGCUGUUCGCCAUUUAAAGUGGUACGCGAGCUGGGUUUAGAACGUCGUGAGACAGUUCGGUCCCUAUCUGCCGUGGGCGCUGGAGAACUGAGGGGGGCUGCUCCUAGUACGAGAGGACCGGAGUGGACGCAUCACUGGUGUUCGGGUUGUCAUGCCAAUGGCACUGCCCGGUAGCUAAAUGCGGAAGAGAUAAGUGCUGAAAGCAUCUAAGCACGAAACUUGCCCCGAGAUGAGUUCUCCCUGACUCCUUGAGAGUCCUGAAGGAACGUUGAAGACGACGACGUUGAUAGGCCGGGUGUGUAAGCGCAGCGAUGCGUUGAGCUAACCGGUACUAAUGAACCGUGAGG